UAAAUAACAUCUGAUAUGAUCACGAAUAAAAAACCCCUUCUUGGGAUCAAAAACCUCCGGACAAACUAGCCAAUAAAAUCCACUGGAAAAGUAAACUUAUAAUUAGUUCAGACACAACUAAACCUUAAUUGACACUGGCCACCUAAUUUCUAAAUCACUAAGGAAUUCCUUCAAUUGUACAACCGGCACUUUUCAGCAACUUUGGGCCACUUUUCUCUCCGUGUGGAUCAUCAAGAGCGAACUCAUUCCAGAGCAUUGUAACUCCAAGUGCCUAUUUUCCUACUUCAAAACUCUAAAGGCUUGUAGUUGGAGGUAAAGAUUGUGUUUGAUCUUUAGAUCUUUUGUUUUUUUAUCUUUG
rnacentral:lncRNA from 1 species